rnacentral:tRNA from 1 species
AGAGCUGUAGCUCAGUGGUAGAGGACUUGCCUAGCAUGCAUGAGACCCUGGGUUCCAUCCCCAGCACCACAA